UACGGAGGGGACUAGCGUUGUUCGGAAUUACUGGGCGUAAAGCGCACGUAGGCGGAUUUGUAAGUCAGGGGUGAAAUCCCGGGGCUCAACCUCGGAACUGCCUUUGAUACUGCAAAUCUCGAGUCCGGAAGAGGUGAGUGGAAUUCCUAGUGUAGAGGUGAAAUUCGUAGAUAUUAGGAAGAACACCAGUGGCGAAGGCGGACUCACUGGUCCGGUACUGACGCUGAGGUGCGAAAGCGUGGGAGCAACAGGG
rnacentral:rRNA from 1 species